GGUAGCGUGUCCGAGCGGCCGAAGGUGCAGCACUCGAAAUGCUGUGUGGGUCAACAGCCCACCGUGGGUUCAAAUCCCACCGCUACCG
rnacentral:tRNA from 1 species